rnacentral:lncRNA from 1 species
CAUGCCUUCUGCAGUGUUCUAUGAGUCAUAUGGUUCAUCCUGAUUUAGGCUGUAAGCAGAUUGCAUCAUGGCGCGGAUACCAGGAGGUGGGGAUCAUGGGGGUCCAUCCUAGAGGCUGACCCAAGCAGAGGAAAGGAGAUAAUUACUGGAACAAUGUCUCCCCAUAGGCAUGAGUAUAUGGAAUUUAGUGCAAAAGGAGAGGAAAUAGCCUUUGUUAGGGACACAGAGGGAUCUUUGAUAGUAAUAGUAUAUAGGUGCAGUUAGAGGAGAAAGUAUGGUUGUGUAUAAAAGGGGUCAACCUCAGCUCUGUACUGUGAAAUGGACCUAUGGUUCUUGUCUUAGUCCAUUUUGUGUUGCUCUAGAGGAACAUCUGAGGCUGCGCAAUCUCUAAGGAAAAGAGGUUUAUUUGGCUCACUGCUCUGUGGGCUGUACAAGAAGCAUGGCACCAGCAUCUGCUCCUGGUGAGAGGCUCAGGCUGCUUCCACUCAUGGCAGAAGCUUGCUCUGGCUAACAACCACUAUCAUCAAAGUUGUCUGAGGAAGACCUCCUGUUGCUGUGACUGACGGGACUCUUGGUGGAAGCCCUAUUCCCAUGUGCCCAUGGCUGCAGCUCCCCAAGGAAGCAGGACAUUGUUGGAUUCUCUAAGAAGCUCAGAGGAAGUUACUUCUCACUGUGGUGCCAUAUGGGAUUUGAAGUCGUUCUACUCAUGCUCUGUUUUUCAAUAAAGCUGCUUCUGCCUCU